GAUGAACGCUGGCGGCGUGCCUAAUACAUGCAAGUCGAGCGAACAGAUGAGGAGCUUGCUCCUCUGACGUUAGCGGCGGACGGGUGAGUAACACGUGGAUAACCUACCUAUAAGACUGGGAUAACUUCGGGAAACCGGAGCUAAUACCGGAUAAUAUAUUGAACCGCAUGGUUCAAUAGUGAAAGACGGUUUUGCUGUCACUUAUAGAUGGAUCCGCGCCGCAUUAGCUAGUUGGUAAGGUAACGGCUUACCAAGGCAACGAUGCGUAGCCGACCUGAGAGGGUGAUCGGCCACACUGGAACUGAGACACGGUCCAGACUCCUACGGGAGGCAGCAGUAGGGAAUCUUCCGCAAUGGGCGAAAGCCUGACGGAACAACGCCGCGUGAGUGAUGAAGGUCUUGGGAUCGUAAAACUCUGUUAUUAGGGAAGAACAAAUGUGUAAGGAACUAUGCACGUCUUGACGGUACCUAAUCAGAAAGCCACGGCUAACUACGUG
rnacentral:rRNA from 1 species